rnacentral:rRNA from 1 species
AUUGAACGCUGGCGGCAUGCCUUACACAUGCAAGUCGAACGGCAGCACGGGAGCAAUCCUGGUGGCGAGUGGCGAACGGGUGAGUAAUAUAUCGGAACGUGCCCGGUCGUGGGGGAUAACGUAGCGAAAGCUACGCUAAUACCGCAUACGAUCUACGGAUGAAAGCGGGGGAUCGCAAGACCUCGCGCGAUUGGAGCGGCCGAUAUCAGAUUAGGUAGUUGGUGAGGUAAAGGCUCACCAAGCCGACGAUCUGUAGCUGGUCUGAGAGGACGACCAGCCACACUGGGACUGAGGCACGGCCCAGACUCCUACGGGAGGCAGCAGUGGGGAAUAUUGGACAAUGGGCGAAAGCCUGAUCCAGCAAUGCCGCGUGAGUGAUGAAGGCCUUAGGGUUGUAAAGGCUCUUUUACCCGGGAUGAUAAUGACAGUACCGGGAGAAUAAGCUCCGGCUAACUCCGUGCCAGCAGCCGCGGU